rnacentral:rRNA from 1 species
AGCGAACGCUGGCGGCAGGCCUAACACAUGCAAGUCGAACGCCCUAGCAAUAGGGAGUGGCAGACGGGUGAGUAACACGUGGGAACCUUCCCUAUAGUACGGAAUAGCCCAGGGAAACUUGGAGUAAUACCGUAUAAGCCCGAGAGGGGAAAGAUUUAUCGCUAUAGGAUGGGCCCGCGUCGGAUUAGCUAGUUGGUGAGGUAAUGGCUCACCAAGGCGACGAUCCGUAGCUGGUUUGAGAGAACGACCAGCCACACUGGGACUGAGACACGGCCCAGACUCCUACGGGAGGCAGCAGUGGGGGAAUCUUGCGCAAUGGGGGCAACCCUGACGCAGCCAUGCCGCGUGAAUGAUGAAGGCCUUAGGGUUGUAAAGUUCUUUUGCCCGUGACGAUGAUGACGGUAACGGGAGAAUAAGCUCCGGCUAACUUCGUGCCAGCAGCCGCGGUAAGGCACGACUGU